AGUAUAAUAAUUUUCUUUUUUUCUUUUUAGAUUUAAAACAAAAAUACAUAGGUAUAAUUAUGUAUAAUAUACUAGGUAUAAUAAUAUUAUUGUCAACAAAUCUUUAUAUAUUUUUUUUUAAAUUUAUUAUACUGAUAAAUUCUUUAUUUUGUUUAACAGUUCUUCAGAUAAGUAAUACAUUUUAUUUUGUGCCAACACAAACUUUCAACAACAUACAGAAAUAUACACAUGAUUUUAUUUGUUAUAAUUAUUAAAAAGUUAUGCAUUAAAAGUUUUUUUUUAAUUUAUAUUUUAUGGAUUUGAUUUUUUAAAUAAAAGUGUUGUAAGAUUCCUUGAUAAAUGAUAAAGAGCUCAUCAAGAAAAAGAUAGGAGCGAAAAUGCAAUGAAUUCUGUGUACUGUUUGUUUUUUUUUCAAUAAAUUAAUAAAUACAAUUUUUGAUAUGUUUCAGGAAAAUGUUUAAAUCAUACUAAAUUAUUUAAUUUUGCUUAAGCUGGCAAAUAUAAUUCAAAAAUGUUUUGAUUUGGUCAAGUAUAAAUUCUAGGUUCUAGUUUUACAAAUACAUAUGUGGCAGUUAUUAAUUUUUUCUCGCAAAUGUUAACAUUAUUUAUACUUUUAAAAGCAAUGUUUUAUGAGUUUUAUUGGUUGCAAGCAUAAAAAUGAUAAGUAAA